rnacentral:rRNA from 1 species
GGACGAACGCUGGCGGCGUGCUUAACACAUGCAAGUCGAGCGGUAAGGCCCUUUCGGGGGUACACGAGCGGCGAACGGGUGAGUAACACGUGGGUGACCUGCCCUUAGCUCUGGGAUAAGCCUGGGAAACUGGGUCUAAUACCGGAUAUGACUCCAUGACGCAUGUUGUGGGGUGGAAAGCCUUGUGCGGCUAGGGAUGGGCCCGCGGCCUAUCAGCUUGUUGGUGGGGUGANGGCCUACCAAGGCGACGACGGGUAGCCGGCCUGAGAGGGCGACCGGCCACACUGGGACUGAGACACGGCCCAGACUCCUACGGGAGGCAGCAGUGGGGAAUCUUGCGCAAUGGGCGAAAGCCUGACGCAGCGACGCCGCGUGGGGA